rnacentral:misc_RNA from 1 species
AUCGAAGCCUCUUGCCAAUUUCCUAUUUGAUAGGUAUUGUGCAGGAUGAUGUUGGCCUCCCGUGAGCUCCAUCGUCUCAUGGUUGGUUGAAAAUCGAGACCUUGGUAGCGUGUGCCAUGAUAGAUGGUGGAUGUGUUACGCACGAGACCAAAUAAUCAUGUGCUGCUCUAUUGAAUUUAGCCUCUUUUACCCACAUUCGUUUCUAAACGCUCGUG